UUGGUGAACCAGCGGAGGGAUCAUUACCGAGUUUACAACUCCCAAACCCCAUGUGAACAUACCUGUUUCGUUCCCUCGGCGGUGUCCGGCAACGGCCCGCCAGAGGACCCAACAAACUCUUUUGAAUUUAUCAGUAUCUUCUGAGUGAAAAAAACAAUAAAUCAAAACUUUCAACAACGGAUCUCUUGGUUCUGGCAUCGAUGAAGAACGCAGCGAAAUGCGAUAAGUAAUGUGAAUUGCAGAAUUCAGUGAAUCAUCGAAUCUUUGAACGCACAUUGCGCCCGCCAGUAUUCUGGCGGGCAUGCCUGUUCGAGCGUCAUUUCAACCCUCAAGCACCUUCGGGAGCUUGGUGUUGGGGAUCGGCAGGGCGUCCUCCGGGUCGCGCCGUCCCCCAAAUCUAGUGGCGGUCUCGCUGUAGCUUCCUCUGCGUAGUAAUACACCUCGCUCUGGAGUCUCGGUGCGGCCACGCCGUUAAACCCCCAACUUUUUUCUGGUUGACCUCGAAUCAGGUAGGACUACCCGCUGAACUUAA
rnacentral:rRNA from 1 species